rnacentral:rRNA from 1 species
CCGGGGGAACUGAAACAUCUAAGUACCCCGAGGAAAAGAAAUCAACCGAGAUUCCCCCAGUAGCGGCGAGCGAACGGGGAGCAGCCCAGAGCCUGAAUCAGUGUGUGUGUUAGUGGAAGCGUCUGGAAAGGCGCGCGAUACAGGGUGACAGCCCCGUACACAAAAAUGCACAUACUGUGAGCUCGAUGAGUAGGGCGGGACACGUGGUAUCCUGUCUGAAUAUGGGGGGACCAUCCUCCAAGGCUAAAUACUCCUGACUGACCGAUAGUGAACCAGUACCGUGAGGGAAAGGCGAAAAGAACCCCGGCGAGGGGAGUGAAAAAGAACCUGAAACCGUGUACGUACAAGCAGUGGGAGCCUCUUUAUGGGGUGACUGCGUACCUUUUGUAUAAUGGGUCAGCGACUUAUAUUCUGUAGCAAGGUUAACCGAAUAGGGGAGCCGAAGGGAAACCGAGUCUUAACUGGGCGUUAAGUUGCAGGGUAUAGACCCGAAACCCGGUGAUCUAGCCAUGGGCAGGUUGAAGGUUGGGUAACACUAACUGGAGGACCGAACCGACUAAUGUUGAAAAAUUAGCGGAUGACUUGUGGCUGGGGGUGAAAGGCCAAUCAAACCGGGAGAUAGCUGGUUCUCCCCGAAAGCUAUUUAGGUAGCGCCUCGUGAAUUCAUCUCCGGGGGUAGAGCACUGUUUCGGCAAGGGGGUCAUCCCGACUUACCAACCCGAUGCAAACUGCGAAUACCGGAGAAUGUUAUCACGGGAGACACACGGCGGGUGCUAACGUCCGUCGUGAAGAGGGAAACAACCCAGACCGCCAGCUAAGGUCCCAAAGUCAUGGUUAAGUGGGAAACGAUGUGGGAAGGCCCAGACAGCCAGGAUGUUGGCUUAGAAGCAGCCAUCAUUUAAAGAAAGCGUAAUAGCUCACUGGUCGAGUCGGCCUGCGCGGAAGAUGUAACGGGGCUAAACCAUGCACCGAAGCUGCGGCAGCGACACUAUGUGUUGUUGGGUAGGGGAGCGU